AUUGAACGCUGGCGGCAGGCCUAACACAUGCAAGUCGAGCGAGCGGCGGACGGGUGAGUAAUGCCUUGGAAUCUGCCUGGUAGUGGGGGAUAACGUCCGGAAACGGGCGCUAAUACCGCAUACCAUCGGAUGUGCCCCGCUGGGAUUAGCUAGUGGGUGGGGUAAAGGCUCACCUAGGCGACGAUCCCUAGCUGGUCUGAGAGGAUGACCAGCCACACUGGAACUGAGACACGGUCCAGACUCCUACGGGAGGCAGCAGUGGGGAAUAUUGCACAAUGGGCGCAAGCCUGAUGCAGCCACGCCGCGUGUGUGAAGAAGGUCUUCGGGUUGUAAAGUACUGUCAGCAGGGAGGCGUUACCCGAAGAGGAAGCCCCGGCUAACUACGUGCCAGCAGCCGCGGUAAUUC
rnacentral:rRNA from 1 species